rnacentral:rRNA from 1 species
GUGUCAGCAGCCGCGGUAAUACGUAGGGGGCAAGCGUUAUCCGGAUUUACUGGGUGUAAAGGGAGUGUAGGUGGCAUGGCAAGUCAGAAGUGAAAGCCCGGGGCUCAACCCCGGGACUGCUUUUGAAACUGCCAAGCUAGAGUGCAGGAGAGGUAAGUGGAAUUCCUAGUGUAGCGGUGAAAUGCGUAGAUAUUAGGAGGAACACCAGUGGCGAAGGCGACUUACUGGACUGUAACUGACACUGAGGCUCGAAAGCGUGGGGAGCAAACAGGAUUAGAAACCCUUGUAGUCC